CAGGGGUGAAAUCAGGAGCAAGAAUUCUGACUGAACAAGCAGGAGCCUGAAGAAAUGUCUUUCUAUGGUCUGUUGGCCAUUUCAGAACUUAGGAAAUGUAAUGGUCAAUUCAUUAGAAAGAAACAGCU
rnacentral:snoRNA from 1 species